CCUAUUUCUCAAAGCAUGAAUAUUUAGUGAUGCCUAAUGACUAAUAAGUGUCAACAUACUAUUAAGCAUCAUUAACAAUUGUUAAGAGAAUGUUUAUUUGGAAUGGUUAGGAUCCAAAGAGAGUGAUUAGAAACCAACAAAAUGGCAAUUUGGUGAAUAUGACUUAGUUAGAGGGCAAAUGAGACAUUAACCUCUAUUGCAUGGGCUAAGACCAAUUAGGUAAGAGCACUAUUUUUCUAAUUCAGAUUUUUAUGAAAGUGAAAGAGUUAGAAGCACAAAGAGAAAGAACAAUCAAGCCAACAAGAGCAUUUUCGCAACCUUGAUACAGCUCCACUAAAUCAGCUUCUGUUUUGGAGGAGAAAAAUGAGUCUGAAGUUGGGACAUGCAUGCUGAAUGUGAUGAAGAAUGGGCUACGGGUUUGAUGAAUUGGGAGUUGGAGUUUUGGUCAAGGGAGGAGCUCAAUUGCAGCAUGUUCAUCAUCCAAAGCCCCAUUGAUGCAAGGUGUGGUUUAGUAGCGUUUGGUCAGUAACAGGUUUGGACUGAAGACUUGGAAGUGGUGUUGGCUCGAAGACCUCGUUGGUUUUGACAUUCCGCUGUGCAAGAUCCAUUGAAGACUCAUGUAUUAUGUUUCUUAGUAGAAUUUCAUGUUGUAUUUUAUAUGGAUCUUUCUAUAACUAUAGCUUUUGUAUGUACUCAAUAUCAAUUUUAACGUUUCAUGCAUAAUAUACUAGUCAGUUAUGUAUGGGGUGUUACAGUUGGUAUCAGAGCAGGUCGAUUCGCGGCCGAGCCAUGAGACAUCACUAGCAAUUCCUUUUCCUCCUCUCAAGUGUGCGAUUGCUAGCCUGAUUUUACUGAAAUCUCAUUCAGUUGUUGAACUUGCUCAACUCAUCGACUGCGUGUGAGACAGUAGAAUUACGGCAGAGCCGCCACGAGGACUCGUAAAACCUGCAAGGUUGUGAACCUAAGUUGUUGGAGUGGGAUGAGUAAUGAAUUGUUGGUUUUAAGUGGAUGAUAUUGGGGUCAUCAAGAUUAAGGAGAGCGUUCGACACGAAGUAGUAAUACCCAAACUGUCAAGGUGUGGAUGGAGACAGCUAGAACCCCCAGGAUUUUGAUUGGACGAAGUAAACUUUCUCUAAGUCUUGGUAAUAGCAAGGGAAGUCCAAAUAGGAUUGAGUAGGAGCCUUGUUAGUGACUUUCUCCGAAGUUGUUGAGCUGGGAAUUAGUAGGAUUCAGUACUGAUGAUGCUGUCGGUGUUAAGUGUGACGGGUGAGCUGAUAGGACAAAAUAACCUUUGGAAAUGCGGACAGAGGAGUCAGACCUUUCUGUUUGUGCUAGUACGGACAGUAAUUGGAUGGAUGAAGUAUUAGAUCCUGAUCCAACUUGAAGUACCUUAAGUGAGAGUAGUUACCUAGUAGAUGUUGGUGGAAUGUAUGAGCUUGGUAACUUAAGAUUGGCGAAGCUUGAAUACCUUGUCGGUGGAAGAGGGCAUGCAUUUCCGUUCUUAUCAUUUUGUAUUUAAGUUCUAGAACUACGCUAGAUGGAAUAUGAAAUGAUGUAGAAACGUGAGAUGCAGUGACCUAAGUUCUUGUUAGUUGUUGUUUGUCUGACCCCGAGUGAAGCCAUAGAACUACGCUUGGCGUUGGGCGUUCAGGCGAGUAAGAACUAAGAUCUAUCCGGGACGUCAGUAGGAUGAUCGCAGUUAUGUUGGUUGUUAGGAACCAUAGUGUUCCUAUCUGAACUGAAUUAUCCUUGGAAUCUCAUGCAUGCGUAGGACGAGUGGGUACGCGCACUGCAUGGUGAUCCGAAGUUGAACUUCAAAUCUUCGUGCUUGCCGUGUUGGCUUUCCGAGUAAGUAAACCUUGGUGUGUAGCACUCUCAGGUUUUAGCAUCCUGAGGGGUGUGAUUCGAAGGAUUUGAGGAACGAUGAGCCUAUUGGAAGCCUGUUCAGACACUUGUCGGUUGUGACUCUAGGAUACGCGUGGAGAUCAUUAUACGCCACUGAGGUAGGUUACCUAGAUACAUGGCCUCGGAGUUGGACCACCAUGUUGGUACUACCAGACGGGUAUAAUGCCACAGUAUCUCUAUCGUGCACAAGAUGCGUGAGUAAUCCUUUUUCCGACAUGUGUGGGACAAAGGUGAUCCGAAGCUCAAGGUAGAAUUCUGAUUUGGCACUCGUGAGACACUGAUCCAAACUCUCAUAAGGUAUGAUGGAUAAGAAUCCAUAUGUCGCGCUCGAUAGUAGAGGAAUAACUAGACAGCUGAUGGUGAAAUGGAUCAAGAUCCAAUACUAUACUUAUGGAGACUCUGAGUGAUCGUGAUCGCAUGAGUUAGUACCCGAUUGUGCCUUGGGGAUGUUCUCGUUUCGUGAAGUGUUAAGUUGGCAAUUUUGCAUGGGUGCCUAGAGUGAAACUUAUGUGCGGUCAUGAUAUCCUGGUCAGCAUAGUGAGUGGCUAUCAUGUACCAUUGGCGACCGGUGAUGGAAUAUGCGAAUUGUGUCUUGGACUAGUUCGAUGUGUGAUGUGUCUGGUAAGGUAUUGCUAGAUACUCUGAGUGGAGAAGUGUCAAUCCUGGUAAAGCAUAGACAUUUUGGUUUGAGAACUUCCGAGGAGUCUAUAAGAGAUAUGUUCGAAAUACAAAGUGCAAUUUCUUGCAUUGUGACUACACUCAGACCGUUGGGAGCACUGCAAUGAAGGAUGCAGCCUCCGAGGAAGCCAGUUUAGUGUCAGAUUCAGAGGUGGAACAGACAUUAGAUGACUGUGUGAAUGGAGUGUGGCUAUGGGUGGAUUGUUAUAUCAGUAAGUCACACGAGUUAUCAGAGGUGAUACUACGCUAAGAGAAUGAAGGUGUAUGGUUGGGUAGAAGUUGUGUAAAACUGCUAGAGUUAUCAUGAGCUACAGUACGACGUGAAGGGUUCGACGUACCGGUUGAGCAACAAAGAUUUAUUGGAAUGAAAAACAUAGCAGUUGUAUGCUGUGGAAAUCAGUAACAGGGAAGAACCUCUAAGUCAGUGAGUAUUUGGGUUUCAAUGUCCUGAGGAUGAAACAUGUACCUAAGCUGUGGUAGAUGAACUAUAUGGAAUGGCAGAGUAAGUAGAAGCUUGAUUCUGGAAAGUACGCAACUUCAAAGAGUAGUAGUCGAUGAUGGAUGUAUAUAGAGUUCUGACACGUGUUGUAAUCGGACAACUGUGGAUAAGGAAUUAUUGUGUAUUAAUGGAAACCAAGUGAAUUAUGGAUAUAACGUGACUCAGAGGAUUUCAAGGUAUGUGACUUGUGGAAUCAGAGUAGCGCAACGGAUCAAGGAAGAAUCAGAUAGGUCUGAGGUAGGAACGAACGGACUAUUUGUAGGACUCUAUGUUGGGAUGAAAGUAUGUUCCUAAGGGAAAUUGUCGAAGCAGCGUUUCGUUCAUUCCAGUCACUCGAGGAUCCACCAUAAACUCGAGAGGUGUUGUCUAUGGGCCAACUUGGGAAUACAUUUUGUGGAUGGCAUGCGGUCCGAUGUUCGUAGGUCAUCAGUUUAGCUUGCAAGUCACAAGGAUUGGACUGAGUAUCAGACCGUCGAAAUGCUGAAGGCUAGAGAGGACAUUCAGUUGGCGCAAGUUCUCUGUGGUUAUGCCUUGUGUACUAUGAUUGUACAGGAAGACUGGUACAAUGGUUACAGGUCAGAAUCUUGUUCGAAGUUGUCGAAUGUCAAGGCGAUAGUUGCAAGACGAUUACACCUUCGCGGUUUACGGUGACAGUUGUAUAAGUAAAGAUAAAUUUGGAACAAUCAUCCUAAGACUUUAGGAACCAGAGGUUAAGACCGAGGAAUUUGGAGAUCACCUAAUGAUAUUGUAUGGACUCGAAUGGAGAAUAAUUCGAAGUGUUACCGCAGAAGUGACGUGGUGGCAGUAAUUCUCAAACGGGAAAUAAUUCAAGGAGCUGAGUGGAUCAGUAAUGUUUGUUGAACGAGGGUGAACACAUCAGAGAAUGAAACGAAGGAUAUCCGACAUGAGUGGGUUAUUGGAGUUUUUGAAGUUUUGGAGAUUUAGUGCAGAGCAGUAAAGGUCGAGGACCCUUUCCCCAGGUGUGUCAAGACGAAGUAUCAGAUUAGAAGUGUUGCUUGAGAGUUAAGGUUUCUAAUCAUGUGUAGUGGGAUGCAAGCAUCUUGGCAGAUUAUGUUUCUUCGUACCGAAUGACCAUCAGACAGAGUAGCGAGAUUAUCUAAAGAGGAAUGCGAGUAACAUUCUCUCUCUUGGUUUGAUAGAUAUGAAUAGUUGGUUUUCUUGGUGAACGGAAGAAUUCGAGGACGAAUUCAAAUUAAGGGGGGGAGAAUGUAACAUCCCUAUUUCUCAAAGCAUGAAUAUUUAGUGAUGCCUAAUGACUAAUAAGUGUCAACAUACUAUUAAGCAUCAUUAACAAUUGUUAAGAGAAUGUUUAUUUGGAAUGGUUAGGAUCCAAAGAGAGUGAUUAGAAACCAACAAAAUGGCAAUUUGGUGAAUAUGACUUAGUUAGAGGGCAAAUGAGACAUUAACCUCUAUUGCAUGGGCUAAGACCAAUUAGGUAAGAGCACUAUUUUUCUAAUUCAGAUUUUUAUGAAAGUGAAAGAGUUAGAAGCACAAAGAGAAAGAACAAUCAAGCCAACAAGAGCAUUUUCGCAACCUUGAUACAGCUCCACUAAAUCAGGUAUAUCUCUCAACUCGUAACUCCGAUCGUAGCGAUUCUGGUCCCAUUGGAAAGCUAACAAAUUUCUCUUCGAUUUGCACCUAUGGUUCGCAUUUAUAGCUUCUGUUUUGGAGGAGAAAAACGAGUCUGAAGUUGGGACAUGAAUGCUGAAUGUGAUGAAGAAUGGGCUACGGGUUUGAUGAAUUGGGAGUUGGAGUUUUGGUCAAGGGAGGAGCUCAAUUGCAGCAUGUUCAUCAUCCAAAGCCCCAUUGAUGCAAGGUGUGGUUUAGUAGCGUUUGGUCAGUAACAGGUUUGGACUGAAGACUUGGAAGUGGUGUUGGCUCGAAGACCUCGUUGGUUUUGACAUUCCGCUGUGCAAGAUCCAUUGAAGACUCAUGUAUUAUGUUUCUUAGUAGAAUUUCAUGUUGUAUUUUAUAUGGAUCUUUCUAUAACUAUAGCUUUUGUAUAUACUCAAUAUCAAUUUUAACGUUUCAUGCAUAAUAUACUAGUCAGUUAUGUAUGGGGUGUUACAGUUGAAAAAUAUAUAAAAAA